rnacentral:misc_RNA from 1 species
GACCAAGUGCUGCUCCUAUCUUACAGUUAAUCCUUGACAAGUAUGGAGAUAUAGCAGCAAACUGUCGGUUAGAAUCAACUUCCUUGCGUGCUUAUUAUCUUGAAUGCCUUUGCACUGUGGUUCAAGAGUUGCAAUCCACAUCUCUUAAUCAGCUAACAAAAUCCAAAGUGAAAGAAUUUUUGGCUGUUCUUAAGGAUGUAGAGUCUGCACAAAUUGAUGU